rnacentral:rRNA from 1 species
AUUCGCGGCCUAUCAGCUUGUUGGUGAGGUAACGGCUCACCAAGGCAACGACGGGUAGCUGGUCUGAGAGGACGAUCAGCCACACUGGGACUGAGACACGGCCCAGACUCCUACGGGAGGCAGCAGCAGGGAAUCUUGCGCAAUGGACGAAAGUCUGACGCAGCGAUGCCGCGUGGGGGAUGACGGCCUUCGGGUUGUAAACCCCUUUCAGGAGGGACGAAAUUGACGGUACCUCCAGAAGAAGCCCCGGCCAACUACGUGCCAGCAGCCGCGGUAAUACGUAGGGGGCGAGCGUUGUCCGGAAUUAUUGGGCGUAAAGAGCUCGUAGGCGGCUUGGUAAGUCGGCCGUGAAAACCAAAGGCUCAACCUUUGGAUGUCGGUCGAGACUGCCAUGGCUAGAGUCCGGUAGAGGAGAGUGGAAUUCCCGGUGUAGCGGUGAAAUGCGCAGAUAUCGGGAGGAACACCAGUAGCGAAGGCGGCUCUCUGGGCCGGAACUGACGCUGAGGAGCGAAAGCGUGGGUAGCAAACAGGAUUAGAUACCCUGGUAGUCCACGCCGUAAACGUUGGGUACUAGGUGUGGCGUCUUAUCAACGGAUGCCGUGCCGAAGCUAACGCAUUAAGUACCCCGCCUGGGGAGUACGGAAU